GUCGGUGUUGAUUACAAUGAGGGUCCACCCGUUCCCUUCCCGAACACGGUAGUUAAGCUCAUUUGUGCCGAAAAUACUUGGAGGGCAGCUUCCUGGGAAAAUAGGUAACGCCGACA
rnacentral:rRNA from 1 species